UAAAGUAGAAAACUGAUCCUGAACU
rnacentral:piRNA from 1 species